AGCAUAUCAAUAAGCGGAGGAAAAGAAACCAACAGGGAUUGCCUCAGUAACGGCGAGUGAAGCGGCAAGAGCUCAAAUUUGAAAUCUGGCCCCUCCGGGGUCCGAGUUGUAAUUUGCAGAGGAUGCUUCGGAUACGGCCCCCGUCUAAGUGCCCUGGAACGGGCCGUCGGAGAGGGUGAGAAUCCCGUCUGGGACGGGGUGUCCGUGUCCGUGUGAAGCUCCUUCGACGAGUCGAGUUGUUUGGGAAUGCAGCUCUAAAUGGGUGGUAAAUUUCAUCUAAAGCUAAAUAUUGGCCGGAGACCGAUAGCGCACAAGUAGAGUGAUCGAAAGAUGAAAAGCACUUUGAAAAGAGAGUUAAACAGCACGUGAAAUUGUUGAAAGGGAAGCGCUUGCGACCAGACUCGCCUGCGGGGUUCAGCCGGGAUUCGUCCCGGUGUACUUCCCCGCAGGCGGGCCAGCGUCGGUUUGGGCGGCCGGUCAAAGGCCUCCGGAAUGUAUCGCCCCCCGGGGCGUCUUAUAGCCGGAGGUGCAAUGCGGCCUGCCCGGACCGAGGAACGCGCUUCGGCACGGACGCUGGCAUAAUGGUCGUAAGCGACC
rnacentral:rRNA from 1 species